CUCCUCUUCAACCGAUGUGAGAUCUCAUAAGUAGAAUAGGUAGGUUGUUGUAUAGGGAUUAUAAAUUCUUACUUUUAACUAGAAUUCAUAUAAUUUCCAUUUGAUUGUAGCUAAUGCUUUUGAUAGGUUAAGUGGAUAACGUUGCAUAUACAGUGGGUGCCACACGUUUUGACCCCGUUGAAACUUUCUCCAAGAACUUGCUGUGUUUGGAUCUUGUCUAGACGCUGUCCAUGGGAUAGAGGGAUAGCUAUUCUCCAUAAUGGGGGUGAAUUUAGUUGGCGCUCGAGCGAGUGGUUGGGUUAUUUCACUCGAUCAUAAUGUCUUGACGUGACAGCAAAACGCCUCGACAUCACGAGUCGAUCAGUUUGCUUCUCAGCCAAGUUUGCUUCGAUGUGAUGAGCUCGACCCGAGCGGUAGGAAAUGAAAAGAAGGCUGCAAAACUUUGUAAAAUCUUCUAUCAAACUACGACGUUUCUUAUCCAUAGAGAUGGUUUGACUGAA